rnacentral:ncRNA from 16 species
ACAGUACAAACUGAACAGGCCGGAUAUCUUAUCUGGGGCCGGGUCACAACGUGACAGUGGAAUGAAUUGUUUUAUCCGCGGGACAGUA